AGCUGCCCUAUUCUUAUCACCUGGUAGCCAGUUUCCUGUAUCAAUUACUAAAACAUUUCUAAAGCAAUUGUAGAAUAACUAAGACCCCUUUUGUGUAUUGUACAACUGAUACUCUCCUAUAACUCUUACUUUACAUUGACCUCUUCUAAUGAGGAAUCUUUUUGAUAUUUGAUGGGAAACAGCUAUAGAGGAAGUAUUUACUUUGAUAGCUACUUGACCUUGACCAAUGCAAGGCAAUUCAUAUACUGAGCCAGGCACCUUGGAGAUAGAAGUAGAUAAGAUAUAGUCCCUGUCCUUGAGAAACUCACAGUCCAGUAAGGUAAACAAUCACAAGAACAAGGUUAGAAAGUGUCCUGCAAUGAAGGUGCUUAUAGCCAGUUAAUGAUAAAAUCUAAAAAUGCCAGCCUGCUACUUAUAAAUACCUACAUUUAUCACUUGUGUAUCUAAAAUUUCACUAUGAGGUGGUUUAUUCCCAUAAAGUAACAAAAUAUCCAGAGAUUCCCUAUCAGAAUGAAAAUUCCCACAAGAAAAUAAGGAUGGGUGAUAGAUUUAAGUACUAGUUCCAAGUCUUUUGAACCAGAGUAACUGCCGGAAACAGGAACAUUGUGUUGAGUCUGAGGUUGUUUCAGCUCAGCAGAGAAGAAUAAUCCCAUGAAUGAAGUUGGGGGAAGACAGCACUUAAGCCACACAGUUUCUAUCCAUGAAAUACAUGAUGAAGCAGGAGGAAGUCACCCCUGGAUAUCUAGGAGAAGGAAACUGGUUAAUCUACCUCACCAUUGAGAAUUCACCAUCUAUCCCCAGGCUAAAUGGCCUUAAGAGGCCCAGUUUCUCUCUUGUCAGAAUAGAAUCUACCUUCAUCCUUCUGGGCUCACCAAGAAUGGAAAUGGUAAGUGCAUAUGUGCUCCCUAAGAGCUAG
rnacentral:lncRNA from 1 species